UUCUGGGAGGUUUGAAAGAUUGCGAGCUCCUUCUUGAUUAGGUGGAUGGUGGUGCAUGUUCGUUCUUAGUUGGUGGAGCGAUUUGUCUGGUUAAUUCUGAUAACAAACGAGACUCUAGCCUAUUAAAUAGGUGCGUAGUUUUUUGCACCUUGCACCUUUCUUAGAGGGACAAGCGGCUCCUAGCCGCACGAAACGAAAGAAAUAACAGGUCUGUGAUGCCCUUAGAU
rfam:Ixodes scapularis strain Wikel colony gcontig_1108378608842, whole genome shotgun sequence.